GUUGCUCUGCCUGAGCGCCCGGCCACUACGCUUCCCAAGCUGGCAGCGCGGGUUCGAUACCCGCCACCCGCUCCA
rnacentral:tRNA from 1 species